AAUUGCCCCUUUAGUACGCACGAGUGAAGCGGCAAAAGCUCAAAUUUGAAAUCUGGCACCUUCGGUGUCCGAGUUGUAAUUUGAAGAAGGUAACUUUGGAGUUGGCUCUUGUCUAUGUUCCUUGGAACAGGACGUCACAGAGGGUGAGAAUCCCGUGCGAUGAGAUGCCCAAUUCUAUGUAAAGUGCUUUCGAAGAGUCGAGUUGUUUGGGAAUGCAGCUCUAAGUGGGUGGUAAAUUCCAUCUAAAGCUAAAUAUUGGCGAGAGACCGAUAGCGAACAAGUACAGUGAUGGAAAGAUGAAAAGAACUUUGAAAAGAGAGUGAAAAAGUACGUGAAAUUGUUGAAAGGGAAGGGCUUGAGAUCAGACUUGGUAUUUUGCGAUCCUUUCCUUCUUGGUUGGGUUCCUCGCAGCUUACUGGGCCAGCAUCGGUUUGGAUGGUAGGAUAAUGACUAAGGAAUGUGGCUCUACUUCGGUGGAGUGUUAUAGCCUUGGUUGAUACUGCCUGUCUAGACCGAGGACUGCGUCUUUUGACUAGGAUGUUGGCAUAAUGAUCUUAAGCCACCCGUCUUGAAACACGGACCA
rnacentral:rRNA from 1 species